AUUAUACCGCGAAACUGCGAAUGGCUCAUUAUAUAAGUUAUCGUUUACUUGAUAGCACAUUACUACAUGGAUAACCGUGGUAAUUCUAGAGCUAAUACAUGCUAAAAAUCCCAACUUCGGAAGGGAUGUAUUUAUUAGAUGAAAAACCAAUGCCCUUCGGGCUCCCUGGUGAUUCAUGAUAACUUCUCGAAUCGCAUGGCCUUGCGCCGGCGAUGGUUCAUUCAAAUUUCUUCCCUAUCAACUUUCGAUGCGAAGGUCUUGUCUUCGCAUGGUUACAACGGGUAACGGAGGGUUAGGGCUCGACCCCGGAGAAGGAGCCUGAGAAACGGCUACUACAUCCAAGGAAGGCAGCAGGCGCGCAAAUUACCCAAUCCCGACACGGGGAGGUAGUGACAAUAAAUACUGAUACAGGGCUCUUUCGGGUCUUGUAAUUGGAAUGAGUACAAUUUAAAUCCCUUAACGAGGAACAAUUGGAGGGCAAGUCUGGUGCCAGCAGCCGCGGUAAUUCCAGCUCCAAUAGCGUAUAUUAAAGUUGUUGUGGUUAAAAAGCUCGUAGUUGAACCUUGGGCCUGGCUGGCCGGUCCCCCUCACCGGGUGCACUGAUCCAGCCGGGCCUUUCCCUCUGUGGAACCCCAUGGCCUUUACUGGUCGUGGCGGGGAAACAGGACUUUUACUUUGAAAAAAUUAGAGUGCUCCAGGCAGGCCUAUGCUCGAAUACAUUAGCAUGGAAUAAUAAAAUAGGACGCGUGGUUCUAUUUUGUUGGUUUCUAGGACCGCCGUAAUGAUUAAUAGGGACAGUCGGGGGCAUCAGUAUUCAAUUGUCAGAGGUGAAAUUCUUGGAUCUAUUGAAGACUAACUACUGCGAAAGCAUUUGCCAAGGAUGUUUUCAUUGAUAAGGAACGAAAGUUAGGGGAUCGAAGACGAUCAGAUACCGUCGUAGUCUUAACUAUAAACUAUGCCGACUAGGGAUCGGACGAUGUUAUUUGUUGACUCGUUCGGCACCUUUCGAGAAAUCAAAGUGCU
rnacentral:rRNA from 1 species